UGUAAUUCUUUACCAGGAUCUGAUUAAUUAUUAUGUAUAUUGAGAAACUAUAGCUGAAUCUGCAAUUCUUCACUGCAAAUAGCCAGAAUCAAACUCGAGACCUCUCUUGGACUGGGUCAAAGGAAUUAGUACUCUCUUGGACUUAAGAGAGGCCUAGACACAAAGAUAGCAACAGAAGAUGAUAUCGUGGAGGGUUUCUUCAGAAAAUAGCAAAAAAAGGAGGAAAAAAA